rnacentral:rRNA from 1 species
AUUGAACGCUGGCGGCAUGCCUUACACAUGCAAGUCGAACGGCAGCGGACCUUCGGGUGCCGGCGAGUGGCGAACGGGUGAGUAAUAUAUCGGAACGUACCUUUCAGUGGGGGGAUAACGUAGCGAAAGUUACGCUAAUACCGCAUAUUCUGUGAGCAGGAAAGCAGGGGAUCGCAAGACCUUGCGCUGAUUGAGCGGCCGAUAUCAGAUUAGCUAGUUGGUGAGGUAAAGGCUCACCAAGGCGACGAUCUGUAGCGGGUCUGAGAGGAUGAUCCGCCACACUGGAACUGAGACACGGUCCAGACUCCUACGGGAGGCAGCAGUGGGGAAUUUUGGACAAUGGGCGCAAGCCUGAUCCAGCCAUGCCGCGUGAGUGAAGAAGGCCUGG